rnacentral:rRNA from 1 species
UAGGGAAUCUUUCACAAUGGGCGAAAGCCUGAUGGAGUAACGCCGCGUGCAGGAUGAAGGCCUUCGGGUUGUAAACUGCUUUUAUAAGCGAGAAAUAUGAUGGUAACUUAUGAAUAAGGAUCGGCUAACUACGUGCC